rnacentral:rRNA from 1 species
UAAUACCAGCACCCCGAGUGGUCGGGACGUUUAUUGGGCCUAAAGCAUCCGUAGCCGGUUCUACAAUCUUCCGUUAAAUCCACCUGCUUAACAGAUGGGCUGCGGAAGAUACUAUAGGAGCUAGGAGGCGGGAGAGGCAAGCGGUACUCGGUGGGUAGGGGUAAAAUCCGUUGAUCCAUUGAAGACCACCAGUGGCGAAGGCGG